ACGAAAGGACAAGAGAAAUAAGGCCCACUUUCAAAAAGCGCCUUAACAGCUAAUAGGUGAUAUAAUCUAAAUCUAUAAGCAUAUAACUAACUCAGCCCAAGAAUAGGGUUU
rnacentral:rRNA from 1 species